UUGCUUGGGCAGCACAUAGACUAAAAUUGGAAUAAUACAGAGAAGAUUAGCAUGGCCCCUGUGCAAGGAUGACAUACAAAUUUGUGAAGCGUUCCAUAUUUUU
rnacentral:snRNA from 1 species